UCAAAUCACGUAGUAAAGGAAAUAAAUGCCGAUUAAAAAUAAAACAGGGGUGUUAAAGGAAAAUUAUAUAAUAUAUUUUGCCAAGUUGGCAAAAUUGGGUGUAUCUCAAAAAGGGGAAAAAAAUUUGAUCUACCUCAUUAGAAAAUAUGAACAAGAGGGUUAUCCCUAAUAAACCCUAAAUUUAAUGACCUUAUUCAAAAAUCCUGUUUGUUUAAUUUAAUUAAAAUUCAUAAUUAACGAGAAAAAUAUUAAAGAAAGAACUGACAAUUUUAUUCAAACAACAUAUUUGUUACAUUUAAUCAAAU
rnacentral:lncRNA from 1 species